CCCCAUGUGGCUUUGUGGGAAAGCUCUUGCCUCUCAUUGGUGAGGUUGCAGGUUCAAAUCCUGCCUUGGCUC